ACUGCAGCUGGGCAGGCACACUCCUCGCAGACCCGGCGCUCUCCAAGGAGAAAAGAAAGUUAGUGGGCUUGGGGUACUAUGGCAGAAAUGGCCAGGGAAGGGUUUAUCUAACCACCAGGAGUACGCAAAGAAGAGAGGUCCAGCCAGCCUGCCUCUCAGAUUGUUAAGAUGCCAGGUGUCUUUUGGCUCAUGGAAACAGCUGUUCUGCCCCCUCCCGAACCCUAGACUCACAGCUACACUCUAUGGGGAAAGGACAAAGGGAAGGCUGCUUCCUGAAGAGAUCUCCAUAUGGAAGAGCUGCAGAUCACAAACAACCCACACAGCCAUUGUAACGCCUGCUUGCCUGGUCACUUGUGUUUCUGAGAAGCCAUAACUCCAAGAAUAGCGAAGGGAAGAAAAUGCCAAAAAGCAGGGGCUGCCUAACAGGUCUGACUUGCAAGGCAAACUCCUGGCAGGCCUGGCCAGCUUCUGCUUGUCCCAGUGCAAUCCCACCCCCAUAGGAUCUGGAAUUUUUCAGUCCCUUUGCUAAGAUUCCUGAAAUAGACUUAAUGAAGAGCCUCAGAAGUGAAAAUUCCUCUUCACACAUUUGCUCAAGAAGAUUGCUUUUCUCCUAACACAGAAAUCAGCUGCCUUGAGGAUGUGCAAGUUUGAUUAGGGAGUCUGCUCUUGCCUAUUUCUCAAACGGUUCAGGCCCUGACAGAAUCAGUGUCACCCCUAAGGUAUUUGCUUCAAAUGCCCCCCAUAUAAUCAAAACUUAUAAAUGAUAAACCAAAAGUUGAGGUACACUCAUUGCCUUUCAGAAUGAAACCUUCCAAGGGGCCAUGAUCAUAUUGUGACUGGACAAGAACUAUCAUGGAUGAGGCACAUCAUCUUUUGGAACCAUCUAUGGAACAGAUAUUAUUAUUCCAUUUUGCGGAAGAGGAAUCUGAGGCUCAGGCCAGACAGAUGCAGCUAACGUUGAGUGGCAUCCUGAUGAUCACCUUCAUCACAAAAGGAAGGAGUGCUCUGAGGACUGUAGGUGGCUCUCAGAACCCUGACCUCCACGGCAGCCAUCAAGGAGUGGCAAAGGGGGUCCACAGUGGCAUAUGCAGUGAGAUCCAAGUUUUAGGCAUUCGGAGUAGAGCAAGCCACGAAUGAGAACAGGUUCUGAAAGUGACAGAAAAGGAGUCACUUUUUUGGUUCCAUAUGAACUUUAAGGUAGUUUUUUCCCAGUUCUGUGAAGAAAGUCAUUGGUAGCUUGAUGGGGAUGGCAUUGAAUCUAUAAAUUACCUUGGACAGUAUGGCCAUUUUCAUGAUAUUGAUUCUUCCUACCCAUGAGCAUGGAAUGUUCUUCCAUUUGUUUGUAUCCUCUUUUAUUUCCUUGAGCAGUGGUUUGUAGUUAUCCUUGAAGAGGUUCUUCACAUCCCUUGUAAGUUGGAUUCCUAGGUAUUUUAUUCUCUUUGAAGCAAUUGUGAAUGGGAGUUCACUCAUGAUUUGGCUCUCUGUUUGUCUGUUGUUAGUGUAUAAGAAUGCUUGUGAUUUUUGUACAUUGAUUUUGUAUCCUGAGACUUUGCUGAAGUUGCUUAUCAGCUUAAGGAGAUUUUGGGCUGAGACAAUGGGGUUUUCUAGAUAUACAAUCAUGUCAUCUGCAAACAGGGACAAUUUGACUUCCUCUUUU
rnacentral:lncRNA from 1 species